GUAGAAAUGCCAGAGUUUAUGGGCUUGGUUUAGGGCCAAUUUACGGUUAAUCUAACCUUUCUUAUU
rnacentral:tRNA from 1 species